rnacentral:rRNA from 1 species
AGUGAACGCUGGCGGUAGGCCUAACACAUGCAAGUCGAACGGCAGCACAGUAAGCGCUUGCUCUUACGGGUGGCGAGUGGCGGACGGGUGAGUAAUACAUCGUAAUCUACUUUUUCGUGGGGGAUAACUUAGUGCAACUUACGCUCAUACCGCAUACGACCUACGUGUGAAAGCCGGGGAUCUUCGGACCUUGCGCGAUUGGAUGAGCCGAUGUCGGAUUAGCUAGUUGGCGGGGUAAAGGCCCACCAAGGCGACGAUCCGUAGCUGGUCUGAGAGGAUGAUCAGGCACACUGGAAAUGAGACAAGGUCCAGACUCCUAAGGGAGGCAGCAGUGGGGAAUAUUGGAAAAUGGGCGGAAGCCUGAUCCAGGCAUACCGCGUGGGUGAAGAAGGCCUUCGGGUUGUAAAGCCCUUUUGUUGGGAAAGAAAAGCAGCAGGUUAAUAACCCGCUGUUCUGACGGUACCCAAAGAAUAAGCACCGGCUAAAUUAGUG